GCGUCCGUAGCUCAGCUGGAUAGAGUACCUGGCUACGAACCAGGCGGUCAGAGGUU
rnacentral:tRNA from 2 species